GGAAAAAUAUGCUCUGUGAUGAAAGUGACAUCAAUUCAGAGACAUCUUCCUGGGAAGAUGAUAUGAACUUGAAGCAGUCAGGAAAUGAAGUGAAGCAAUCUGGUCUGAAGUCAAGAAAUGUCCCACUGCCCAGACCUCCUAUAUACCAUGAUACUCUUCAGAGAAGUGGGGAAAAAGAUGAGAAUGAUCCCAAGCCCACAAGCUCUGAUGUCUCAGAAUUUCAUGAUCUUCAACAACAUCACAUGACUUAUAAAGCAAUUACAGUGCAAACCAGGAUACCAGAUGAUGUGCAUUUAAAGAAGUCAAGAAAUGCAAUGAAGCGAGUUGGUCUGAAGACAAAGAAUGUUCAGCUGGCCAAAACUCCCAGAUACCAUGGUGACUGUCUGGAUGAUAACAAUGAAAGCCCUGAUGAGUUAUUUAAACUCAAGCCAGCCCAACCCAGUAUUCUUAGAUACUCUUCAGGAAAAUGUGGCAAUGCAUGAGGAUGAUCAUCCCAAAAGCUCUGCUUCUUCAGAUCUGAAUACUAAGAUACUCCAACAAAUUAAAAUGCUGGAACAGAGACAAGCUGUCAUCAUGAAUGACUUGGCAAAAGUUAAGCCUGUUCUCAUGAAGCGGGCAGAAGAAGAUGCCCAUGAGGAACUUUUUAAACAACAACAGUGCUCCAGCUUUGAAACGUUUGAAGCCUUCUGUCAGAGGCUUGAAGAAGACAAAAAUUAUCAAGAGCUUUAUGUACACUAUCUCAUCCAUACUCACGGCACCUCCAAUAUAGGUGAGAUGGUGAAAGAGGCUUUAAUAAGCAUAGUGUCAGACAAUGUUCUCUGUCUGUAUAACAGAACGGGGAAAGAUGGGAAGAAGGUGUUGCCACCUGUGCUCCUGACAUGUUUGAAAAAAUGUGUCAGGUCUUUUCACAAACAAAAUGAAAUAAAGGUGAAGAAGCUAAAAGUAACCACCAGAACAACACCAGACGCGGAAUGUAUUCGCCAAGUAGAAUUUUUUUGUCCAACGCCAAAACCAGGCUGAAAAGGAAACCAAAUAAAGGAAAAAGCUGA